GACGAACGCUGGCGGCGUGCUUAACACAUGCAAGUCGAGGGGUAACAAGAGGAAAGCUUGCUUUUCUUGUUGACGACCGGCGCACGGGUGAGUAACGCGUAUCCAACCUGCCUAUAACUAGGGAAUAACCUUGCGAAAGUAAGACUAAUACCCUAUGAUUUCCUUUGAUGACAUCAGAUUAGGAAUAAAGAUUUAUCGGUUAUAGAUGGGGAUGCGUCUGAUUAGCUUGUUGGCGGGGUAACGGCCCACCAAGGCAACGAUCAGUAGGGGUUCUGAGAGGAAGGUCCCCCACAGUGGAACUGAGACACGGUCCAAACUCCUAAGGGAGGCAGCAGUGAGGAAUAUUGGUCAAUGGGCGGAAGCCUGAACCAGCCAAGUAGCGUGCAGGAUGACGGCCCUAUGGGUUGUAAACUGCUUUUAUACAGGAAUAAAGUUAGCCACGUGUGGUUAUUUGUAGGUACUGUAUGAAUAAGGACCGGCUAAUUCCGUGCCAGCCGCCGCGGUAA
rnacentral:rRNA from 1 species